rnacentral:rRNA from 1 species
UUUCGUAGUUGAAUACUACAACCAA